AAUAUAUUUAUCUACUUUAAUUUGACUCUUGGGGCUUAAACUUUACAUUCCUAGGAUUAACUAAGACCCAUUACCUCUUAUCACAGCAAAAUUUAUCUUUAGGCAGGGCAUCUUAAAAAGAUGGAAGACAAGAACAGAAGCAGCUGUUUCCCCGAGGUUAAGGGUCCUUCCUUUCACUAUCUGGGUGAAGAGACAUGUUUCCUUCAUUAAAAAUAGCAAGACAGAGCUGGUUCUGUUUAGAAGGGUCUUCCCUUGGAUAACUGGGUGAAGAGACAUGUUUCAUCCUUCAUUCAAAACAGAAAGACAGAGCUGGUUCUGUUUAGAAGAUGCUAUUUGCAACUUUCUGACCCCACCCCAAAUGUGGACAUGUAAGUUACAAGCACAUGCCUUCAUUACUGAAGAAGAAUGAAAACACCCAAGUUCCAGCUACAUUAACAUGGAAAAGUUGUCUCCCAUGUUGCUUAAACCACUGUUACCCUUGUCUAAGGAGACUCUCAGUCAUGCGCUUCAAGGUUUUGGUGAUUAUCUUCAAAGCGCUCCAUGGCAUAGGGCCGGGAUAUUUACGGGACCGCCUGCUGCUACCGGAUACCUCUCACCGACUCAUGCGCUCUCACAGAGAGGGACUCCUCAGGGUGCCGUCGGCCAAACAGUGCCGGCCGGCGACACCCAGGGGAAGGGCCUUCUCUGUGGGGGCUCCCACCCUCUGGAAUGAGCUUCCCCCAGGACUUCGCCAACUUCCUGACCUCCGAACCUUUCGCCACGAGCUUAAGACACAUCUAUUUAUUUGCGCAGGACUGGACUAGAUUUUAAAUUCGAAUUGGUUUUAAUGGGGAUUUUAUUAUUUUAUUAUCAUCAUUUUAAUUAUUCGGCCAAUUAUAAUAAGUUUUUUAAUGGAUGUUUUUAUUUGUAUUUAUAUGUAUAUUUUUAUCUGGUUGUUAACCGCCCUGAGUCCCUAGGGAGAUAGGGCGGUAUAAAAAUACGAAAAAUAAAAAUAAAUAAAUAAAUAAAAUCCAGGUCAUGGUUGUCCCA